rnacentral:lncRNA from 1 species
GCCUCAGUGUAAGGAAGAAUUAGGCCACCUGGGUCCUGAGUUCUGCUUCCAAAAAGGCAGAAACGGAGGAGGAAACACUGGAUGAGAUUUUCUCUCCUUCUCUCUGUCUGUCUCUUUUAACAUAGAGCUCCAUUGAGGUUCAGUUUCCUCCUGGCUAAUUUCCAGCAGUGUAUUUGUUCUCUCAAAGGCAGAUGAACCUUUAAACUAGAGAAAUAACCCUGGCGAGGAAGAGACGGGGAGAGAGACCUGCCGACCAGCAGAAAGAGCAACUACAAAGGCAUGCUUUCAUGUCCACACAAGAAUGCCACAUCCAUACAAACAAGACUUCCCAAUUUUCAUCGGAGAAAUGCUGGAGGGUAUGGAGUUAUACGACCCCCAAGCCAAGGAGAUAAAGCCUGUUCUACUGAUGAAGCCUAGGAUGGCGAAACAAGGCUAAUAUUCCAGAAAUCCUUGUCUUAGACUGUGAAAGGAUUCCGUGGAACUGUAACAACCCUUCAUGUGGAUUAUUGGACUAUUUGAACAGACAGGUGGAAUACAUGUAUGGACCUUAUGCAUGAACUGACUAGAGAAUGAACUGAUCCACUGGGUCUUCUGCUUUUUUUGUUGAACUUUAUGAGACUUCUGUUGAAAUCUACAAAUUGAUACCAUGAAUAGUAUACCUUAUUUAUUCAAAAUUACAGCCAGUUACGUCUUGUGUGUUUAUUAUGCUAAACAGACAAUUGGUCUAUCUAGCUCAGUAUUGGUAAACCUAGCUUAUUAUUCUACUUCCAUUGUACAGAAAUAGUUUCUCAAAAUCUUAUUUCCCUCCCACCCAAACUGAAAACCUUGGUUUGUUGGGCUGGUUUAGACCUAUUUGAACUACUGUGGAGUUUAAUUAACUGCUUGGCACAUAUCUGUGCAAUAUUCAGCUACUUCCUCUUCCCUUCCCCGUUGCAAAGCUUGCCAUAGAUUGGGGAGGAUAUCCAUCUCAUUCAAGUUUGCACAUGGAAAUUCCUCUGGAGUUCUUCCUGGUUAAAAGUAGUUCUAAACCUUCCAUUUUGAGGGGAAAGUUGCAUGUGUGCAUAGC